GCGGGUGUGGUAUAAGGGUUGUGCCUUGGCCUUCCAAGCCAAUGAAGUCGAGUUCGAGUCUCGCCACCCGCUCCA
rnacentral:tRNA from 1 species